rnacentral:lncRNA from 12 species
UCUUUGUGCUGCUCAGGUUUGUGUUAAGAUACUAAAUCAUUCUCUGAGUUUCCUAUUUUCUCUUAGGUAACAGCAUGGAUUUUGGAAAGGAGCUUUGUCCUCCUUCAAAGUUAUGCCACAUCUGAAGUGCAGCCAGAUCUCCCUUAAGUGUGCUGACAGAUGCAGAGGAAAGACAUCCUGUCUCUAUUCUUGCACCCUUCACCAUUGCCUCCUAUCAUAA